UUUAGAUAUUCCCGCAGGGAAGGGACGGGGACUAACUCUUCCCCAUAGUGCAAAACCCUAAUUUUCCCUUCCUCACCCGCCACAUCCCCAAUCCCAUACCCUCUUUGUAUGUUUCGGCAAUAAUGGACACCAAUGUAAUUCCAAAUGAGAUUCCUAUAGGUAUAUGCUCCUUUGUUUUAAAGGAUUUUGCAGUAAUUAAUGGCGACACAACCAUAUGAAAUUCAAUGUGCUUGAGAUGAUAAGGUAGUAUAACUGUGAAUUGGAACAUGAAAUUGGGUUUUUGAGGGUAUUAUAAUAGUUCCUUGUCUCUUUCUUUUUUCUUUGUGUGUGAAAGGCUUGUUUGGACCUGCUUUUUUUUCUUCUUUUUUUUUUUUUUUCAAUUCAGCGGAGUGCUUGGUUAAAAAAGAAGAAGAAAGUUUAGAGCACUUAUUGUAACAGCAAGCAAAAAUGAGAUUCUGAGCAUCAAGAUUCUGAAAAUACAGCAAUUACAAUAACAUACAUCUUGUUUGGUUGGAUGUAGUAGAAAAUGUUGCAAGUAUAAAUAAUUUGUCUGGUUACAUGCAGUUGAGAAGUGCAUUUUUAAAAUUUCAUCAAUUUAUAUGUAUAAUGGCGAGAUUACCUCCAAUAUAAAAAAAAAAAAAAUUUAAAAAAUAAUUAGGAAGGUAAGUUUAUCUUUUAUUUAGAAUUAUUCUUUUCAACUACUGUAGUUGGAACUGCAGUCGUUUGGAUGUAGUUCCAACAGUUGGAUCUCCUCAUGCAGUUUCAACUACAGUAAUUGAAUUCAAAUUUAUCAAACCAAUCGCGAGAGUUAGUUUUGUGUGUAGAAUUGCAGUGCAGUUGCAACUAUAUAGAUCCAAACAGCCCUUAAAUAGACAUUUUAGAGAAUCUUUUGUAGCUCUGGUUGCUUUGGCUUCAGCAUGCAGAUUGUAAAACUCCACAACAGCUUUAUGAAAGAUCUGAAUUAACUUCUAAAAUUUUGUCCCUUUUGAAUUUGCGCCCGGUUGGGAGCUCGUGAGGAGAGAUUUCACCAAGUACGUUAUAAAAAAGCUCUAAUAUGACGCUUCUGUUUUUUCUGUAGAAUGAAGUUGUUGAGGAUACGAUUUAUGUAGUGAUCCGCCUAACAGAACUUAUGCAUUGAACUCUCUCCUUCCUCUUAGUCUCUUUCUUGAUCAUUUAUUCUGUGCUUAUCGUUGUCUCCUUUCCCUCACUCUUGUUAGAAAUGCACUUCAUUUUAUUAUAAUUACUCUCCCCAUUUAUCACCCUUUUCUCAAUGAGAUAUGGAAGCCAACCAAGAAGAUUGUUUAUUGCAUGUGUGUUGGUGCCAACUUUGCUAUCUUUCCAAUUCCUUUUACAACUUGCAGCAAGCAAAUGGUAGAAUAAGAACUGAUACAGUUGGUGUUAUUGGGAUUUUAUGGCAUGGGAAGAGUCAGUGAAACAACUCUUCUGAGAUUCAUCAACAAUGAUUACUGGGGCAAUUCUGAACUAACUGAAUUUGAGGAUAGGAGCAGCUGAAGCAGGAAAUCUUUGCUCUUAUCCUAUUUCAAAUAAUUUCUUGAUGGAUUCAAACCAACGCCAAAUCAUUUGUACGAAUUUCUCUCUUAUUUGAGUAUUGUGCUUGAAGGGAACUAUAAUUAUGCCAUUAGAGAAAUUCUUACUCCUGCUUCCACUGCCUCUUCAUGCAUGCUUCUGUUUGCCUCUAUUCUGGUGUAUUUGAGUAUAUACUCUGUUGAUAUCUGGUUAUUUUGAAAAUGUUGAUCCAACUGAUUUUUUUUUUUUUUGAUAUAUGUUCUUAAAAUGAGAAUGGUUAUUGCCACAACUUGUGAGUUCUGACCUUUCUGCUUGAGUUUGCUGUUUCCGCUCUUCCUAUCCAAAUAUGCUGCCAUGCCAGAGUGCAGCCUGUGAAUUUGAGAAGCUGCUUUGCAGAUAGUGGGAAAUCAUGUAUAUUAAACUAUUGUAGAUAAAGGCAGGACUUGACGGGCCCAAAUAUGCCCUUUAUUGUAUUUGUGAAUAUAAUAUUCUCGAUCGGCUAUUACUGACACCAAUAAAAGAACAUUAUGCGAGUUAGAGUGCCUUCUCAAAAAGAAAAUGAUGCUUGAUCUCAUUAUCUUUCGUUUUUGCGUGACAAGCUCGACUUUUAGAUCCAAAUUCAAAUACUGUAAUUUAUUAGGUAUUAUUAUUACCAUUGUCCAAUUUGAUGUAAGAUGUCAUGUCACAAUUUAGGUGAGAUUUUUGAAAUAGAGAAACAAAAGAGAGAAAAAUUUGGGUGAAUCAACUUUUGGGUCCUAAAUAAAAAUGCUAUUUCCAAUUUUAACUCGAUAGGCGAUUGAAUGCUACAAGUCGUAGAACUAGAUAAUUAUGAUUGAUAGGCGAUUGAAUCCUACGAGUUGUAGAACUAAAGAAUUAUGAUGUUCUCUAUUUGCUUAUUCUAGUUCACAACACAUAAUGAUGUUUGCAUAUGUAUUUGAUUAUUUUAGUGAAUUUUCUAUUGAUGCAGAAUGAGACAUUUUGUUUGACUGAAACUGGAAGCUACUCUCCAACUUAAGGGUUCUUUUGUAAAAAACUGCAUUUUUUGGGUGUUAUGUAUGGGAAGUUCCGAUUUUGCAGGGUCGUCUGCACGUAAAUAGAUGAGUUUGCAUGGAUAUAUAUCGAGAAUACCAUGUUUUUUACGCUAGUUUCUCACCAUUUACUGUUGGUUUUAGUUUUAACUUGAGCAGGACUUGUCCAGAUGGGCGAGAAAAAGGUAAA
rnacentral:lncRNA from 1 species